rnacentral:rRNA from 1 species
UACGAAGGGGGCUAGCGUUGUUCGGAAUUACUGGGCGUAAAGGGCGCGUAGGCGGUGUGUCAAGUCAGGCGUGAAAGCCCCGGGCUCAACCCGGGAACUGCGUCCGAUACUGGUUGGCUUGAAUCCGGGAGAGGGAUGCGGAAUUCCAGGUGUAGCGGUGAAAUGCGUAGAUAUCUGGAGGAACACCGGUGGCGAAGGCGGCAUCCUGGACCGGCAUUGACGCUGAGGCGCGAAAGCCAGGGGAGCAAACGGG